rnacentral:rRNA from 1 species
GAUGAACGCUGGCGGCGUGCCUAAUACAUGCAAGUCGAGCGAACGGACGAGAAGCUUGCUUCUCUGAUGUUAGCGGCGGACGGGUGAGUAACACGUGGAUAACCUACCUAUAAGACUGGGAUAACUUCGGGAAACCGGAGCUAAUACCGGAUAAUAUUUUGAACCGCAUGGUUCAAAAGUGAAAGACGGUCUUGCUGUCACUUAUAGAUGGAUCCGCGCUGCAUUAGCUAGUUGGUAAGGUAACGGCUUACCAAGGCAACGAUGCAUAGCCGACCUGAGAGGGUGAUCGGCCACACUGGAACUGAGACACGGUCCAGACUCCUACGGGAGGCAGCAGUAGGGAAUCUUCCGGGAGGGGGGAGAGGCUGACGGAGCAACGCCGCGUGAGUGAUGAAGGUCUUCGGAUCGUAAAACUCUGUUAUUAGGGAAGAGGAUAUGUGUAAGUAACUGUGCACAUCUUGGCGGUACCUAGUCAGAAAGCCACGGCUAACUACGUG